rnacentral:lncRNA from 1 species
CUUUCUUGCAUUAAAAGAAAAGAAAAGAGAUCUACCCAACAGUUCUUGAACAGGGAUUCUCUGUGUAACAGUCCUGGCUGUCCUGGACUCUCUCUUUGCAAACCAGGCUAGCCUCAAAGUCACAGAGAUCUGCCUGCUUCUGCCACCUAAGUGCUAGGCUAACAGUGUUACCACCAUACCAGGCUUCUCCAGUCUUGGCUAUUAUAUUGGAUGAAUUCUCCGUGGGGAAUUGAUGAGCUAAAGAAGGCCAUCAUAAGGUUCCAGACACAGAAUUUCCUUUCUACAGGUAAUUCAAGCACUAGCGAAUUCAGACUCUAAAGAAGAGGGAAUUGGAAGUUGAACUGAACUGUGGCAGUGGGCGGCUGGGAGAGUGAGUGUUGAUGUAGAGACAGGAGUGGGAGUCAGUGAGGACUUGGUAGCCAUGUUUGGGAGGCGGG